GAUGAACGCUGGCGGCGUGCCUAAUACAUGCAAGUCGAGCGAACAGACGAGGAGCUUGCUCCUCUGACGUUAGCGGCGGACGGGUGAGUAACACGUGGAUAACCUACCUAUAAGACUGGGAUAACUUCGGGAAACCGGAGCUAAUACCGGAUAAUAUAUUGAACCGCAUGGUUCAAUAGUGAAAGACGGUUUUGCUGUCACUUAUAGAUGGAUCCCCGCCGCAUUAGCUAGUUGGUAAGGUAACGGCUUACCAAGGCAACGAUGCGUAGCCGACCUGAGAGGGUGAUCGGCCACACUGGAACGGAGACACGGUCCAGACUCCUACGGGAGGCAGCAGUAGGGAAUCUUCCGCAAUAGGCGAAAGCCUGACGGAGCAACGCCGCGUGAGUGAUAGAGGUCUUCGGAUCGUAAAACUCUGUUAUUAGGGAAGAACAAAUGUGUAAGUAACUAUGCACGUCUUGACGGUACCUAAUCAGAAAGCCACGGCUAACUACGUG
rnacentral:rRNA from 1 species